GACGAACGCUGGCGGCGUGCUUAACACAUGCAAGUCGAACGGAAAGGCCCUGCUUUUGUGGGGUGCUCGAGUGGCGAACGGGUGAGUAACACGUGAGUAACCUGCCCUUGACUUUGGGAUAACUUCAGGAAACUGGGGCUAAUACCGGAUAGGAGCUCCUGCUGCAUGGUGGGGGAUGGAAAGUUUCGGCGGUUGGGGAUGGACUCGCGGCUUAUCAGCUUGUUGGGGGGGUAGUGGCUUACAAAGGCUUCGAAGGGUAGCCGGCAUGAGAGGGUGACCGGCCACAAUGGUACUGAGAGAGGGACCAGACGCCAACGGGCGGCAGCGGGGGAGAAUAUUGCGCAACGGGCGGAAGCCUGAUGCAGCGACGCCGCGAUCGUGAUGACGGCUUACGGGGUGUAAACCGCUUUGGCCUGUGACGAAGCGUUAGUGACGGUAAUGGGUAAAGAAGCACCGGCUAACUACGUG
rnacentral:rRNA from 1 species